GCCUUCGUGGUGUAAUGGUCAGCACACUAGACGCGCAUUCGAGAGGUCUUAGGUUCGAAUCCCGGAGAGGGCA
rnacentral:tRNA from 1 species